rnacentral:rRNA from 1 species
GACGGGGCCGCACAAGCGGUGGAGCAUGUGGUUAAUUCGAAGCAACGCGAAGAACCUUACCAGGUCUUGACAUCCCUGACAACCAAGAGAUUGGGCGUUCCCCUCGGGGGACAGGGUGACAGGUGGUGCAUGGGUUGUCGUCAGCUCGUGUCGUGAGAUGUUGGGUUAAGUCCCGCAACGAGCGCAACCCUCGCCUCUAGUUGCCAGCAUUCGGUUGGGCACUCUAGAGGGACUGCCGGCGACAAGUCGGAGGAAGUGGGGAUGACGUCAAAUCAUCAUGCCCCUUAUGACCUGGGCUACACACGUGCUACAAUGGGCGGUACAAAGGGCUGCGAACCCGCGAGGGGGAGCGAAUCCCAAAAAGCCGCUCUCAGUUCGGAUUGCAGGCUGCAACUCGCCUGCAUGAAGCCGGAAUCGCUAGUAAUCGCGGAUCAGCAUGCCGCGGUGAAUACGUUCCCGGGCCUU